rnacentral:rRNA from 1 species
CUGUAGUUCUAUGGUGCGGGAGGGACUGUCCUCUGACUGUGGUUCUAUGUCUUUACACACACACACAGUGACAAAGUCUAAUGGGAUGUAUGUGGCGUUUAACGCAAUAUAUACAACUUUCAGCAACGGAUCUCUUGGCUCUCGCAUCGAUGAAGAACGCAGCGAAAUGCGAUAAGUAAUGUGAAUUGCAGAAUUCAGUGAAUCAUCGAAUCUUUGAACGCACCUUGCGCCCUUUGGCUAUUCCGAAGGGCAUGCCUGUUUGAGUAUCAUGAACACCUCAACCCUCAUGGUUUGCCAUGUGGGCUUGGACUUUGGGGGUUUGCUGGAUUGUAGUCAGCUCCCCUUAAAUGAAUCAGCUUGCCAGUGUCUGGUGNCAUCACAGGUGUGAUAAUUAUCUACGCUUGUGGUUUUACAUCAGGUAACCUUCAGAGAUGGGGUUCACUGGGGCUUACAAAGGUCUCUCCUCAGUGAGAUAGCUCUUUGAACGUUUGAUCUCAAAUCAGGAGACUACCCGCUGACUUAGCAUAUCAAUAAGCGAGGAAAGAACUACAGGAUCC